rnacentral:rRNA from 1 species
UACGGAGGAUGCGAGCGUUAUCCGGAUUUAUUGGGUUUAAAGGGUGCGUAGGCGGCUUUUUAAGUCAGCGGUGAAAUUUUGCAGCUUAACUGUAACAGUGCCGUUGAUACUGGGGAGCUAGGAUUUGGUUGCUGUGGGUGGAAUGUGUGGUGUAGCGGUGAAAUGCUUAGAGAUCACACAGAAUAUCGAUUGCGAAGGCAGCUCACAAAGCCAAGAUUGACGCUGAGGCACGAAAGUGUGUGGAUCAAACAGGAUUA